GACAGAGGUGCCGAGCGUUAGGCGGAAUCACUGGGCUUAAAGCGUGUGUAGGCGGGCGGGCAAGUACCUUGUGAAAUCCCACGGCUCAACCGUGGAACGGCUGGGUAUACUGCCUGUCUUGCCAACUAGGGGCGAGCGGAACAGACGGUGGAGCGGUGAAAUGCGUAGAUAUCGUCUGGAACGCCGAAGGUGAAAACAGCUCGCUGGGGUUGUGCUGACGCUGAGACACGAAAGCCAGGGGAGCGAACGGG
rnacentral:rRNA from 1 species